rnacentral:lncRNA from 1 species
UGCGCCAUGGUUAUUUUCGAUGGUUAUCUGCCCUCGCCGCCACUGCUCGGGCUGCAUUUUCCGCAAGGCUCAGUGCGGCAUUUUGCUCUACAAAAACAACUAGCUCCUUUCCAGCCAAUGAUUACUUGUAAUUAUGCUUUCCCCUGCUAUUAUUCUAAUAGACCUGUCAUGUUGCUCGGAGGACUCUGGCGUUUGGAAUAUACAACAGCUUUUAUGGAUGGACUGCUGGAACACUUAAUAUAGCUCUAUUUUUGAAUUAUCAAGUUCUAUCCUUUUGAAGUCUGUGUUAGUGGAACUCCUAUUUAUGAGAUGUGCUGUGCUUAAAGGUUUGCUAUUGAUGAAGAGGUCCAACAGAGCCUUUAUCGUAAGUACAGCAGCAUUCUCCCUGAGAGAUAAAUAGCCGUGCUAAAAGGUAUGGUGUGUACCUAGGCUGCAAAUUACUAGCCAAGUACCUUGUAACAGUAUACUUCAAAAAUACCUUUAUGCUUCUUGUUUGUUCUCUUUUCCAUAGAGAUGAAUGACAUUUCUUAAAACAGAGAGGGGUGGAGGCAUGCUGGCCAUCGUUGGUCAUCAUCAUUAAUUAGGCCGGAGGACACAUUUGUUCUGGCACAGGAUGUCCGUCUGAAGACAGAUGCACAAACACAGCUCAUGUCCGUCCACUGUGCUUUCUGUUUGGGGAUUUGCUUUGCUUUAACUGAAAGUCCCUGUGGCACAGCUGAGGACACCAUAGAUGUCAGACUGGCUGGUUUCCAGGAGGAGACCUGUGUUUCUCAUGGCUUGCUGUGCAGUGUGCACCAACUUGGGCCAGUUGAAAUUGGAUCCAAAGACCUAGACUGCUGGAGAAUUCAGAGCAGGAAAGAUGUCAGAGAUUGUGAUUUUAUGGACUUAGGAAAUAUUUGGUAAUUAGCACACUUUUGAAAAGCAUUUGAUCAUUUCUG